rnacentral:tRNA from 1 species
GCCUGGGUGGCUUAGUUGGUUAAGCGUCCAACUCAUGGUCUCAGCUCAGGUCAUGAUCUCAAUGUGGGUUCAAGCCCCACACUGGGCU